AUUCUCUGGUGUUCUGGUUCAGUCUGAGUUUUAGGCAGGCUCGGUGUCUCCCUUGAUCUUACAGUAGGGCAUUAUUGAUCCUGUUCCUUCCACAGCAGUAGACUCUAUUUUUCUUGGCCAUGAAUGUGUUUCUGCCCUUUCCCUAGGGGGAAGAGGGGAAGAUAAUUCAUAUGGAGCAUCACACCAGCUAUCUCCUGCUCCCUGUCCUGCACUGCAAAGGAGGCCUUUUCAUCCUCUCUACUGCCUCCAAUUUUUCUCACGAGGAAUGUGAGAGGAAAACCUAGAGCUUGUUCCUGAAGCAUGGUGCUAAGUCCAUAUGCAGCAGAUGGAGCUCAUGAGAAAAGAGUUGCUCUUGUGAAGACCAAAGCUUGGUGAGGUGUCAGAUCCCCGGCGAUGGAAAGCAGUCAACUCAUGGGUAGUAAAAAGAAUGUAUUGACAACACUAUAGGUUUGAAAAGGAAAGUUUUAUUAGAUGGAAAGAACAGUGCAGAAGACCGCAGCAGAGGACCUCAGCAAGAGAGAACUAAAAAUGGUCAAUUACAAAGCACAACAUAAGACUGGAACAUUGGAGUUAAGUAGCAGAGAUCAAAAGAGGAGAUUGCAGAUGGAGGUGUUGUAUGUGACUGUUUUACAUGGAUUCUUCGCUCUGGUAGCAGAUGUUGAAGAAGCUCUAUGAAUGUCCUGUCUCUAUGUCCCAGUUUGUCAGUUUCAAAUACUCAUGUAUCUGAUUGUCAAUGCUGGAGAGCUGGGGCCAGGGCAGUAGUUGAUGAAUAUCACCUGACUGUCUCCUGCAGAAAAAGCAUUCCCAGAAGCACGGAGAAGUGAGGAGAAAAGGCAAUGCACCUGGAGCUGGAGACCAAGGCCCUGUUCUUACUGAUGGCCCUUGGAGCAGAUAUUUGAAUUGGAGAGAUAAAACCGUGGUUUUUGGGGUGUUAAUUUUGGUGGCUGAUGCAUUCUGUGAUUGAUUUGGCUAUUACAACUGGUAUUGAUUUUAAACACAUUAAUUGCAAAAUCUCAAUUGUGAUUUGAUUUCUGUAUUUACAAUACUAAAAACGAGGCUUUCGCCAGGAGAAGACAAUUGGCAGUACUCAGUUGGAAGUGCUUAAUUGUUAAUAUAUAUCAGCCGUGGUUCUUCAGCGUCGUCAGUGUUGCUCAGUCUUGCUCUUUGUGGCGACUACUGAAUGCUUGAAAAAUUCUCUCCUAUACUCCCACUCUGCACUGUAGAAGAGAAAGAGAGGAGAGUGGAAGAAAAAAGAGAGGGAGAGGAGAAAGAAAGAGAGGAGAGAGAAACAUGGGCAUGGAUGAUACAUAAGAUAAUUCCAGAAGAUUUCAGCAUAGCAGAUAAAAUACAGCAAAUCCUAACCAGCACAGGUUUGAGUGACAAACGGGCCGGUUCCAUGGACACAGGUGACUUCAUCAGAUUCAUGAAUUAUCAGGAAAGGAGAGGACCUCUAAUUACACUUUGAGAAGAUGCUUCUAUCCCUCAUUACGCUUUGAAAUUGAAGAAUUUAGAUAUAUUUAAGUCUAUUUCACUCUUUUUAACUGAUAGAUGAAUAAACUGUUCUCUUUAUCAAUGAUCCCUCUUGGAGACCAUUUGGUAUUUCUGCUUUUUGGUUAUUAAUAACAAUGCUUCAAUAAAUGCCUUUGCACAUGUCUCCUUGUAAACAUAUGUAAGGAUUUCCCUGAUGCAGCUAAAACCUAGAAGUAGUUUUAUUGGGGAGAAAGGUUUUACAUUUAUAUUAUCAACAUUUUAAGGUACUACCCAUUUGCUAUUCAGACUGGUUUGAUUGGUUUACACUUCUGCCUAUAAUAAAUGUUUAUUAUUUAUUAUUUAUGAUUACUGUUUAUCCAUCUACUGGCUGGCAUGUGAUGUCAUCACACAAUUUCUGCAAACACAAUGGAUGUGAAAUUGUAUCUGAGUUGCUUAAUUUGUGUUUUCCUGACUACUAGUAAUGUUGAGCAUCUUUUACGUUUUUUAUGUACUUUAUUUUUUACAUUAAAUAAAUUUUGACAAAGAAUUUGUGUCCGAAUGCUAAGUGUUAGAAAAUGAAUUAAGUAUUGGGAAUAAAAAAAAUCAAGAAAAUGG
rnacentral:lncRNA from 1 species